AAUAACUUGCAUUGUAUAAACUCUUUGUUGGUAGAGAGUUGCAUAACAGGGCCCAGCAAAAAGUUCAGAUUAUGACUCUCGCUUACACAACCAGUUGAAAAUAAAAGUUGUCACCAUUCCACAUUUACAGUGCCCACUGUUGAGAUCUUGAGUCUAACAAGCUCUGCUGUCUGAACCCUCCUUCCACUGGGGAUUCCAGCAUCUCUAAUCAUGCCAUCCAAAUGAUAUGACUCCAUUACAUACCAUGGGCCUAUUCUGUAGGUAAUCUUGUUCUCAUCAUUAGUAUGCAUUUCUUUUUCCUACAUAUUCUACAUUUGGGUUUAUGUCUUAUUGCUGAGUCCAGCAUCAUUGAUAUUCUGUCUUGCUUUAUUUAUUACUGAAAGUGGGGUAUUGAUAUAUACUUCCACUAUCUCAUUGCUGCCUGCCUAUUUUUGAUUCAAUUCUGUCAAUGUUUGAUUUAUGUGUUUGGAAUAACUGUCCUGCAUUUAUAGGUUCUCAGUGAAUGAACCCUCUUACUGCAUUUGAAUGUCCUACUUUGUCCCUUGUGAAUUUUAACAUAAAAUAAAUUAUAUAAAUAUAACAGUUUUCAACUUAAUAAAUUGUUACCUCUUCUCCUCUCAUUUGAUUAACACUUGCAUGGAAUGUAUUUUUAUACUGCCAUUUUCAGUCUAAUUUUUAUUAGAUCUGAAAUGAGUCUCUUAAAGGCAUGACAUAGUUACAUCCUGAUAUAGACUACAACAUAGCCACAUUUUUUUUUUUCAUUUGGAAAGAUAAUUUUGCAGGCUAUAGUAUUCUUUAUUAGGCUAUUUAUUUCAGUGUUUUAACUAUGUCAUCUUAUUCCCUUCAUGCCCAAAAGAUUGACAUUCAUAAAUUUACUGGUAAUCUUGCAGAAGCAUACAUAUGAAUAACACAUCUAUUUUUUAUUUCUGAAUUCCAGAUUCUCUUCUUUUCUCUGACUUUCAAAACAUUGCUUAUGUUUUGUCUUGUUAGAAAUCUCUUUGUGUUAACCUUAGUUGAAAUUGUCUGAGCUUCUUGAGUUUCUUAAAAUUUUUUACUGAUGUUGAACUGCAUAUUAGUCUUUUUUUGUGCUUCUACUGCACAAUUUUCAUUCCUUUUUGUGACUUUUAUCUUUUGUUGGUUUCAUUUAUUUAUUUUUAUGUUUUUUUCUUUAUUUCUAUUUUACUGAUUAAGCAUCAUUGACACGGUGAUUUUCACUUUUUAGCACUUUUUUUUUUUCUUUUUAAAAAUAGAUCUAAACUAACCCAAAUCGCCUCUGGUAAUUUUUAUAUUACCAUUUAUAUCUCCAUUUUUUAUAACUGAUUUCUGGAUAUUUCACCAUGUUGACC
rnacentral:lncRNA from 1 species